rnacentral:lncRNA from 1 species
GCUUUGAGGGCCCCGAGCAAGCAGCGCGGCUGCAGCGCAGACGCACGCGGAGGGGCCACCGGGAGCGGAGGUCCCCGGGCUGCGGGAGGGACAGGGACGCUUCUGAGUGCCAGAGACCUCCUGACCGCCUGGCUUUGACCACUGACAAAGCGGGAAGCUGGUCGGGUGCAGGCGUCUGGAAGUGAGGGCACCCGGAGAGCACAGCCAAGCUGGAGUUGAGGGUGCAGAGAAUCCAAACGAUGGACUCGGACCGAACAGAGAGCAACCCCAACGUGGGGGCGACCGACACGGGCUCAGAGGGCUCAGUGGGAGGCUGCUCCUAUUGAGUGUGUGCUGGGAGAGAUCCCUGCACUUCUGCUGGAAGCCGGCCUCACUCCUCCCAGUGCCCACUGUUGCUGGAGAUUCCAGUGAGGGACAUACAGAAAGCAGGCUACUGAUCAUCAACCACCAGCUGCUCAAACCAGAUGUGGUGACUCCAUAAAGGAUCGUGGACUGGUAUUAAGAAAGACAUUAGGGUUAAAUGAGGUCAUAAGGGUGGGGCCUCGAUCCAACAGAACUAGUGAACUUGUAGACACCAGGAGUGUGAUCCCAUUGAGCAAAGCCCUGCCUGAAGCUCGGUCUUAGACUUUUAACCUCCAGAACCAUGAGAAAAUAAAUGUGUGUUGUUUACAUUGCCCAGUCCAUGGUAUUUAGCUAUGGAAAGCAUAGCAGACUAAGACAGUGACCUUAGAAAAACUGUGCAGUUCUUUUUAGUUAUAGCAUAUAUCUUGAAAUUACUUGACUUGGGAUACUGCAGAUCUAUUGAUACUUCCCCCACCCACCACCUUACGCUUUCCUCCUGAGUAGAACUUUAGAAAGACAAAAGGAUUAUUUUAUUCCCUAUGAUGUGGGCGACAGGGUGUCUGUACAUUGGUCAAACAUUUUUUGUGGGUGUGUCUGCAAAGGAGUUGCUGAAUGGGACUAACAUUUGAAUCAGGAGACAGCAUUCAUAGAUCACUGCCCUCAAUGUGAACGAGUCUCAUCCAAACAAGUGAAGAACCGAACAAAACAAAAAGUUUGAUUAAUAGAGCGCGAUCAGUAGUUCCAAGACGAAGCUCAGGGUCUCCUCAGGUGCUGGCUGUGAGAAACUCACCGAGAGCAGGAUGAACGGAAGUUUCAUUCGCGUUCUGCGAAGCGUAUAGCCACAUAAAUUGCUGCUGACUCUCUGGGUGAAGAAGGGAAGGCUGGUGUGGGUCUGAUUCAGUGGUAAGAACUACAAACAAGGUUUCCCUAUGAAGCAGGGCUUCCUUGACUCAUGGCUAAGUUUGCUUGCUGCUCAGCAAGGGGCUUCCUGUCACAGACCAAGGAGAACCUCAGAGAGAAAGCGUAAAUCUGUCUGAAGUUGCACUGCCAAUCUGAGCGUUCUCAACUUUAUUAUGAAAAAAGGAAAAAGAGAUAUUCCUGGGUUGACUGAUACUACUGUGCCUCGGCGCCUGGGGCCCAAAAAACAGAAUCCAUACACUUUUAUGGUGUCUGCCAGUGAGUUUGUAGAAAGCCCUUAAACAAGGAAGGUAACAAACGCAGGACUAAAGCCUCAAGACUCAGUGCCUCGCUACUCGACGCGUCCUUCAACACAAAUACCGCGGUCUUACUGCGCUGAAAAAGCACACACGUAAAACAAGGAAGAAGCUACAGAAUACGCUGCACUUCUGGCUGAGAGAACGAAGGAAGCCAAAGAAAAACACCAGGAACAAAUUGCCUGGAGAUGCAGGCUUUCCUCUCUGAGAGCUGCCUCUUCCAAGUCUGAGUCCAGUCAAAAAUGAAGUGCUUACGUGAGAAAUAAAUUAGAUCUGACCUAAAAAAAAAUUAGGGACCUCUGCCUGCCUGGCUGUCUAAGCCAGGACUCCUGUCUCCUGCAUUUGGAUGGGAAUUUACACCAUCAGCUCUCCUGAAUCUCCUUUCUUCCAGCUGCAAAUCUUUGGACUUCUCAUUCCCAUAAUUACAUGAGCCAAUUCCUCAUAAUAAAUCUUUUUAUGGCUGGCAGUGUAGCUCAGUGCUACUGCACUUCCCUAGCAUGUGCAAGGCCCUGGGUUCAAUCUUCAAAACUGUAAAAAUAAAAAUAAAUUUAUUUUGAUCUACGUGUACUUCC